rnacentral:tRNA from 1 species
GCCUGGGUGGCUCAGUCAGUUAAGCACCUGACUUUGGCUCAGGUCAUGAUCUCACUGUUUGUGGGUUCAAGCCCCACGUCAGGCU